GAGAAUCAACACACAGAGAAUUUAUAGUGGUUCCCCCAAUGUGGGUUAGUCCACUCCUCACAAUCUUGUGAGAGUUUCCACUAUGAUGCUUGAGAUAACCUCUCAAAUCUUGCACCUUACAAUCUUUGUUCACCUGAACAAUUACAAUUUUGUAUUCUCUAAGCCUCAGCAGGCUUGCACCUUGUUGCUAAGUUAACCACUUAGUCUUUUACAACCUUUGCUCAAACUAACACUUUAGUACCCCUAAAGCUAGAUGAGACUUUGUUACAAUUUGUAUGGAGGUUGAAUGUUUGUGAAUAAAACAAAGGAGGAGGAAGAAGAAGUUAUCUUUAAGAUAACAGAGAGUAUUGAUUUGCACUAAGUAAACGAAAGCCUUAGAGAUUGAUCAAUUUCAGUUUUGCAAGAGCUUCAAACAAUCUUUGUUGUUUUCUUGUAUGCUUUGCAAUGGUGCAAGUAAUGUUGAGCCUUUGAUCUCUAUUUAUAGAGUCUUUGGGCUCAUAUAGCCGUUGUAAGGUGACCAAUGGUGUUAUGCCACGUGUCCUGGGCCCCACAAGCUUUUACUUGAAAAUCUGGGUGAACAUUCUGAACAUCAGAAUGUUGUUG
rnacentral:lncRNA from 1 species